rnacentral:rRNA from 1 species
AGUGAACGCUGGCGGUAGGCCUAACACAUGCAAGUCGAACGGCAGCACAGAGGAGCUUGCUCCUUGGGUGGCGAGUGGCGGACGGGUGAGGAAUACAUCGGAAUCUACUCUGUCGUGGGGGAUAACGUAGGGAAACUUACGCUAAUACCGCAUACGACCUACGGGUGAAAGCAGGGGAUAUUCGGACCUUGCGCGAUUGAAUGAGCCGAUGUCGGAUUAGCUAGUUGGCGGGGUAAAGGCCCACCAAGGCGACGAUCCGUAGCUGGCCUGAGAGGAUGAUCAGCCACACUGGAACUGAGACACGGUCCAGACUCCCACGGGAGGCAGCAGUGGGGAAUAGUGGACAAUGGGCGCAAGCCUGAUCCAGCCACACCGGGUGGGUGAAGAAGGCCUUCGGGUUGUAAAGCCCUUUUGUUGGGAAAGAAAUCCAGCUGGCUAAUACCCGGUUGGGAUGACGGUACCCAAAGAAUAAGCACCGGCUAACUUCGUGCCAGCCGCCGCAGUAA